CCAGACUCCUACGGGAGGCAGCAGUGGGGAAUCUUCCGCAAUGGACGAAAGUCUGACGGAGCAACGCCGCGUGAGUGAUGACGGCCUUCGGGUUGUAAAGCUCUGUUAAUCGGGACGAAAGGCCUUCUUGCGAAUAGUGAGAAGGAUUGACGGUACCGGAAUAGAAAGCCACGGCUAACUACGUGCCAGCAGCCGCGGUAAUACGUAGGUGGCAAGCGUUGUCCGGAAUUAUUGGGCGUAAAGCGCGCGCAGGCGGAUAGGUCAGUCUGUCUUAAAAGUUCGGGGCUUAACCCCGUGAUGGGAUGGAAACUGCCAAUCUAGAGUAUCGGAGAGGAAAGUGGAAUUCCUAGUGUAGCGGUGAAAUGCGUAGAUAUUAGGAAGAACACCAGUGGCGAAGGCGACUUUCUGGACGAAAACUGACGCUGAGGCGCGAAAGCCAGGGGAGCGAACGGGAUUAGAUACCCCGGUAGUCCUGGCCGUAAACGAUGGGUACUAGGUGUAGGAGGUAUCGACCCCUUCUGUGCCGGAGUUAACGCAAUAAGUACCCCGCCUGGGGAGUACGACCGCAAGGUUGAAACUCA
rnacentral:rRNA from 1 species